CUACGAUAAUGGCAAACCUAUUGAAAAAUAGGGACGCAAAGCCUACGGACCUAAUGUAUAGAAUACGAUGGUAGCCGGGUUACCGAA
rnacentral:ncRNA from 1 species